ACCCGCUGAACUUAAGCAUAUCAAUAAGCGGAGGAAAAGAAACUAACMAGGAUUCCCCUAGUAACGGCGAGUGAAGCGGGAUGAGCUCAAAUUUAAAAUCUGAUAGUCUUUGGCUGUCCGAGUUGUAAUCUAGAGAAGUGUUUUCCGCGUUGGACCAUGUACAAGUUUCCUGGAACGGAACGUCAUAGAGGGUGAGAAUCCCGUCCUUGACAUGGACUACCAGUGCUUUGUGAUACACUCUCAACGAGUCGAGUUGUUUGGGAUUGCAGCUCAAAAUGGGAGGUAAAUUCCUUCUAAAGCUAAAUAUUGGCGAGAGACCGAUAGCGAACAAGUACCGUGAGGGAAAGAUGAAAAGCACUUUGGAAAGAGAGUUAAACAGUACGUGAAAUUGUUAAAAGGGAAACGAUUGAAGUCAGUCGCGUUUACUUGGACUCAGCCUUACCUCGGUUUGGUGCAUUUCCUUGUGAACGGGCCAGCGUCAAUGUUGUCCGUUGGAAAAGGGUUGGAGAAAUGUGGCCCUUUCGGGAGUGUUAUAGUCUCUGAUCGUGUACAACGGCUGAUAUUGAGUGGUACAGCAUGCUUCGGCGGUGCUUGUGCUGGCAUAAU
rnacentral:rRNA from 1 species